rnacentral:rRNA from 1 species
GACGAACGCUGGCGGCGUGCUUAACACAUGCAAGUCGAGCGGUAAGGCCCUUUCGGGGGUACACGAGCGGCGAACGGGUGAGUAACACGUGGGUGACCUGCCCUCAGCUCUGGGAUAAGCCUGGGAAAACCGGGUCUAAUACUGGAUAUGACUCCAUGACGCAUGUUGUGGGGUGGAAAGCCUUGUGCGGCUGAGGAUGGGGCCCGCGGCCUAUCAGCUUGUUGGUGGGGUGANGGCCUACCAAGGCGACGGACGGGUAGCCGGCCUGAGAGGGCGACCGGCCACACUGGGACUGAGACACGGCCCAGACUCCUACGGGGAGGCAGGCAGGUGGGGAAUCUUGCGCAAGUGGGCGAAAGCCUGACGCAGCGACGCCGCGUGAGGGAUGACGGCC